CGGUAGCAACGUGACCUUGCACUUGUGGAUCAGUGGCGAACGGGUGAGUAACACGUGAGCAACCUGCCCCGGACUCUGGGAUAAGCGCUGGAAACGGCGUCUAAUACUGGAUAUGAGACGUGACCGCAUGGUCAACGUUUGGAAAGAUUUUUCGGUCUGGGAUGGGCUCGCGGCCUAUCAGCUUGUUGGUGAGGUAAUGGCUCACCAAGGCGUCGACGGGUAGCCGGCCUGAGAGGGUGACCGGCCACACUGGGACUGAGACACGGCCCAGACUCCUACGGGAGGCAGCAGUGGGGAAUAUUGCACAAUGGGCGAAAGCCUGAUGCAGCAACGCCGCGUGAGGGAUGACGGCCUUCGGGUUGUAAACCUCUUUUAGCAGGGAAGAAGCGAGAGUGACGGUACCUGCAGAAAAAGCGCCGGCUAACUACGUGCCAGCAGCCGCGGUAAUACGUAGGGCGCAAGCGUUAUCCGGAAUUAUUGGGCGUAAAGAGCUCGUAGGCGGUCUGUCGCGUCUGCUGUGAAAUCUGGAGGCUCAACCUCCAGCCUGCAGUGGGUACGGGGCAGACUAGAGUGCGGUAGGGGGAGAUUGGAAAUUCCUGGUGUAGCGGGUGGAAUGGCGCAGAU
rnacentral:rRNA from 1 species